rnacentral:rRNA from 2 species
UGCAAGUCGAACGAGUUCCCGUUGAUUGACGUGCUUGCACUGAUCUCAACAUUGGAACGAGUGGCGAACUGGUGAGUAACACGUGGGAAAUCUGCCCAGAAGCAGGGGAUAACACUUGGAAACAGGUGCUAAUACCGUAUAACAACAAAAUCCGCAUGGAUUUUGUUUGAAAGGUGGUUUCGGCUAUCACUUCUGGAUGAUCCCGCGGCGUAUUAGUUAGUUGGUAGGGUAAUGGCUUACCAAGACGAUGAUACGUAGCCGACCUGAGAGGGUAAUCGGCCACAUUGGGACUGAGACACGGCCCAGACUCCUACGGGAGGCAGCAGUAGGGAAUCUUCCACAAUGGACGAAAGUCUGAUGGAGCAAUGCCGCGUGAGUG